rnacentral:rRNA from 1 species
UACGGGGGGGGCAAGCGUUGUUCGGAAUUACUGGGCGUAAAGGGCUCGUAGGCGGCCAACUAAGUCAGACGUGAAAGCCCCCGGCUCAACUGGGGAGGGUCACGCGAUACUGCUCGACUUGAAGGCAGGAGAGGGAAGUGGAAUUCCCGGUGUAGUGGUGAAAUGCGUAGAUAUCGGGAGGAACACCAGUGGCGAAGGCGGCUCAC